CCUACGGGUGGCAGCAGUGGGGAAUAUUGGACAAUGGGGGGAACCCUGAUCCAGCCAUGCCGCGUGUGUGAAGAAGGCCCUCGGGUUGUAAAGCACUUUCAGUGAGGAAGAACGCCUGGUGGUUAAUACCCAUCAGGAAAGACAUCACUCACAGAAGAAGCACCGGCUAACUCCGUGCCAGCAGCCGCGGUAAUACGGAGGGUGCGAGCGUUAAUCGGAAUUACUGGGCGUAAAGCGCGCGUAGGUGGCUUGAUAAGCCGGUUGUGAAAGCCCCGGGCUCAACCUGGGAACGGCAUCCGGAACUGUCAAGCUAGAGUGCAGGAGAGGAAGGUAGAAUUACCGGUGUAGCGGUGAAAUGCGUAGAGAUCGGGAGGAAUACCAGUGGCGAAGGCGGCCUUCUGGCCUGACACUGCCACUGAGGUGCGAAGGCGUGGGUAGCAAACAGGAUUAGAUACCCCAGUAGUC
rnacentral:rRNA from 1 species